rnacentral:pre_miRNA from 1 species
UCUUCGUUUCACACACUCUCUCACCGGUCAGAGAGACGAGAGUGUGUGCGAGGUGAAGAGA